AAAUUCAGCGUGAUUUACAUGACAUACAAAAUUUACUGUGCUACAUGUGUUUUAAUAGAUGCGUGCAUGCUUGCAGGUUAUCCUGGCAGACACCAUUGAAGCAGCUGCAGAAUGAAUUCUGAUUGAGAUCAGUAUCGAUGACACACAUACUAUUGAACCAUAAUAAUGUAUCAGAGUAUUUAUAUCAUAAGUUGGCAAGACAUGACAUUGGCGCUUGAUCAAAAGCGAUGGAAGAAAGCUAUUGAGAAAAAGCAACAGCGAGCUUAAGCUCAUUAUUCUUUCCUGCCUCUUGGGCCCCAGUUGGAUGAGCAUGUGUCUGGUCAUCAAUUCUGGCGCAUGAAGUUUCAGAGUUUUCUAUCUCUACACAUAAUGUAUUGACUGAGGUUCUACUUUUGGUUUCCCUGUGUAGCGUUAGAGCACUGUGAAAACGAAUGAAUUAUGUUAAACUGCCCCCAAUUUUUAUGUUUGCUACAUCCCAGAUCCUCACAUGACAUUCAGAAUGAUUCGUCUGUUCUUGAAAUCUUUAUUAUCCUUUUUAACAUGCUACUCCAUCCGUUCCAAACUAUAGUUCUUUCUGGCUUUUCUAGGUACGUAGCUUUUGCUACACAUUUAGAUAUAUAUAGCUUUUAGUAUGUAUCUAGAAAAGCUAAAAGAACUUGUAAUUUGGAACAUAGGGGAGUACAUGUUAUCUUGCAUAUGCAGCAUUGGUGUGAUUGUGUACUCCAAAUGAACUCAAACCCCUGGUAUAGUAUAUAGUCGAACAAUCUCAAGUUUA